rnacentral:lncRNA from 1 species
CCUUAAACUGCUAAGCAACUUCAGUGAAGUCUCAGGACACAAAAUCAAUAUGCAGAGGGGGAGGGGGCAGAUCCAAGAUGGCUGAAUAACAACAGCUCUGGAGUGCAGUUCCCAGCAAGAACAAUGUAGAGGCUCUGCACAAUCUUGUGAUGAUGAUGUUAUGAACUUGUGACCAUCGAAUGGAGUCAGCCAUUUGGCAAAUGUCCUUAUGAUCUGUUUUCACAACGUGGAACUUAUUUCCCACCACCUUUUUUGUUCAGAAGGAUGCAGCGAAAAGGCCCUCACCAGAUGCCAGCUCCUUGAUCUUGGAUUCCACAGCUUCCAGAAUG